ensembl:snoRNA
AAAGCAGGUCUGCAAAUGCAGCGCUCAUCAUCAGUAGAGUGCUGUCAUUAACCCUGCUGAGAGCAUCUUCCUCCUGCUGCGCUCCUCCUCCUCUUCCUCACCGCUCUGGUGAUGAGGAAACUGCAGCUGCAGGACAAAUU